GACGAACGCUGGCGGCGCGCCUAACACAUGCAAGUCGAACGAGCGAGAGAGAGCUUGCUUUCUCGAGCGAGUGGCGAACGGGUGAGUAACGCGUGAGGAACCUGCCUCAAAGAGGGGGACAACAGUUGGAAACGACUGCUAAUACCGCAUAAGCCCACGGCUCGGCAUCGAGCAGGGGGAAAAGGAGCAAUCCGCUUUGAGAUGGCCUCGCGUCCGAUUAGCUAGUUGGUGGGGUAACGGCCCACCAAGGCGACGAUCGGUAGCCGGACUGAGAGGUUGAACGGCCACAUUGGGACUGAGACACGGCCCAGACUCCUACGGGAGGCAGCAGUGGGGAAUAUUGCACAAUGGGGGAAACCCUGAUGCAGCGACGCCGCGUGGAGGAAGAAGGUCUUCGGAUUGUAAACUCCUGUUGUUGGGGAAGAUAAUGACGGUACUCAACAAGGAAGUGACGGCUAACUACGUG
rnacentral:rRNA from 1 species